rnacentral:lncRNA from 1 species
ACUAUAUUACAAUUGGACUCGAGCCUCGAAAUUAAUACGCUUCGUCAAGUGCACGUCAGCGGUUAUCUCGGAAUUUUUUUACCCAACAUCAUCCUCGAUUACAGAUAAUAGAUGUUCAACACUCUAUCUGGAGUAGCGGAUCUCUCCAGAAAAUCGUAUGAUUGACCAUUGCGUCGGUGAAAAUAUUAUUCAUGGUUCCAAUUGGCAACUCAAUCUCGUUGCAUUUAAUAAACAGUACAUUUAGGAGAGCGUGAGAAUACCAGAUUUUCUCAAAAGAUGUGGACCGUUUCGUUGGGGUAUUUCAGCACGCUGAACGCCCGCUUGAGACUCUGAAAAGUUUGCUUCGAGACGUUGGCUUUGAGGUCUGCCACUGCAGUAACAGACACACGAGUUACAUUUACGACACUCCCGAUGCUCACACCGGAUUCAUGGCGUCUAUCGACCCCUUCAUGUCCCGCAUGCCGGAUGAACUACAGCGGGAGUACUUGAUAGAUCUGGGCAUAGAAGCAAGAAGGCACUCAUUCAUCGUCAACAAGGAUAGGAAUGACGAUUGUAGCAUACUGUCCAGACGCCAUACCUUUGUAGUUUACUUGAAAAAGCCAUUGGUCCACUGAUAAACGGCCAAAUAAUUAAUAAAAGUCGAUAU